rnacentral:rRNA from 1 species
GACGAACGCUGGCGGCGUGCCUAAUACAUGCAAGUCGAACGCUGCUUUCCUCCCGAGUGCUUGCACUCAAUUGGAAAGAGGAGUGGCGGACGGGUGAGUAACACGUGGGUAACCUACCCAUCAGAGGGGGAUAACACUUGGAAACAGGUGCUAAUACCGCAUAACAGUUUAUGCCGCAUGGCAUAAGAGUGAAAGGCGCUUUCGGGUGUCGCUGAUGGAUGGACCCGCGGUGCAUUAGCUAGUUGGUGAGGUAACGGCUCACCAAGGCCACGAUGCAUAGCCGACCUGAGAGGGUGAUCGGCCACACUGGGACUGAGACACGGCCCAGACUCCUACGGGAGGCAGCAGUAGGGAAUCUUCGGCAAUGGACGAAAGUCUGACCGAGCAACGCCGCGUGAGUGAAGAAGGUUUUCGGAUCGUAAAACUCUGUUGUUAGAGAAGAACAAGGACGUUAGUAACUGAACGUCCCCUGACGGUAUCUAACCAGAAAGACACGGCUAACUACGUG